UCCGAACCCUAAUUCUCUCUUGGUUGCGAAACCCUCUGAAUGGCUCUCUCCGUCUCAAACAGAAAAGGGAAACAACAAACCCUAGAUUCGAUUUCUCUGCUUCUUCCAUCUUCGGCUCGUUCACAAUCCAGACGAAUCGAGCGUCUUCGUGUUCUUCAUUCAUUCGUUUAUCAUGGGCCAAAAAAGUAGGCAUCAAUAAUACUGCAAAGGUUUUGCAUUCUCAGUGUUUGUCUCUGUUACCAAG